rnacentral:tRNA from 1 species
CAAAGAGUAGCUUAAUAAAAGCAUCUUAUUUACACUAAGAAUAUACCUGCUAAACCCAGGUCCCUUUGU